rnacentral:rRNA from 1 species
GAUGAACGCUGGCGGCGUGCUUAACACAUGCAAGUCGAACGGAAAGGCCCAAGCUUGCUUGGGUACUCGAGUGGCGAACGGGUGAGUAACACGUGGGUGAUCUGCCCUGCACUUCGGGAUAAGCCUGGGAAACUGGGUCUAAUACUGGAUAGGACCACUUCUUGGAUGUUGUGGUGGAAAGUUUUUUCGGUGUGGGAUGAGCUCGCGGCCUAUCAGCUUGUUGGUGGGGUAAUGGCCUACCAAGGCGUCGACGGGUAGCCGGCCUGAGAGGGUGUACGGCCACAUUGGGACUGAGAUACGGCCCAGACUCCUACGGGAGGCAGCAGUGGGGAAUAUUGCCCAAUGGGCGCAAGCCUGAUGCAGCGACGCCGCGUGGGGGAUGACGGCCUUCGGGUUGUAAACUCCUUUCGCUAGGGACGAAGCGUUUUGUGACGGUACCUGGAGAAGAAGCACCGGCUAACUACGUG